rnacentral:rRNA from 1 species
UGAGAUAUCCCAUAGCAUAAGCUAGUAAGGCCCCUGGGAGACGACCAGGUGGAUAGGACAGGGGUGGAAGUGCGGCAACGCAUGGAGCUGACUGUUACUAAUAGGCCGAGGGCUUGACCUAA